AUUAAACGCUAGCGGGAUGCCUUACACAUGCAAGUCGAACGGCAGCGCGGACUUCGGUCUGGCGGCGAGUGGCGAACGGGUGAGUAAUGUAUCGGAACGUGCCCAGUAGCGGGGGAUAACUACUCGAAAGAGUAGCUAAUACCGCAUACGCCCUACGGGGGAAAGGGGGGGAUGGCAAGACCUCUCACUAUUGGAGCGGCCGAUAUCGGAUUAGCUAGUUGGUGAGGUAAAGGCUCACCAAGGCGACGAUCCGUAGCUGGUUUGAGAGGACGACCAGCCACACUGGGACUGAGACACGGCCCAGACUCCUACGGGAGGCAGCAGUGGGGAAUUUUGGACAAUGGGGGCAACCCUGAUCCAGCCAUUCCGCGUGUGCGAUGAAGGCCUUCGGGUUGUAAAGCACUUUUGGCAGGAAAGAAAUCGCACGGAUUAAUACUCUGUGUGGAUGACGGUACCUGCAGAAUAAGCACCGGCUAACUACGUGCCAGCAGCCGCAGUAA
rnacentral:rRNA from 1 species